AUUUUCGAAGUGCGUAAUAACACAAAAUUUAAAAACUUAGAAAGAUUCGACUUCCAUAGCAUUAUUAGUUUACUAAAUUUAUUACUUUACAAUAAAUUCUUUAUUAGGACUACACUUCUUUCGUUAGCUGAAUUUAGAUCAACUUUACCACUCAUUUAAUCAUUUAACUGUGAUGCCCAAGAACGUUUCGUUAUCAGUUAUUGCGUUAUUAUAUCAGUAUAACUUUGUAAGUAGAAAAUUAAAUCUUACGAAUUACAUUUACAAAUUUUUAUUAAUAUCAGGACUCCUUUGGACCGUGUUAUUACGUAAAAAGGUACAUGAAAGGUUUAACUAAAAUACACGAAUAGUAGAAGGUGUUGUCAGCUGGGAGUGUGGCGGCUCCUGUAAUCCGGCUACUCGGAGGCUGGUUAUGAUGGAGGGUCUGAGGUCGGGGGUACCUGUUGGUGCGGGACUCACGUUGACUGGGCGUCCGCACUAAGCUCGCCAUCAAUAUGGACAUCCUGGAGGAAUCCGGGAUGGCCAGGUUGGCUAAGGAGAGGCGAACCGGGCCAGAGGGGAAACCCAGCAGCCAAAAGUCUCCGUGGCGGGCAGUAGUGGGAUCGCGCCCGGGAGUGGGACCGUAUCGACAGCCUGGUCAAUAUGACUCGACUCAUAACUUUUU